UGAUGUAGCUCAGUCGGUAGAGCAACUGAUUCGUAAUCAGUAGGUCGGGGGUUCGAUUCCCCCCAUUA
rnacentral:tRNA from 1 species